CCAAAUACUGCUUGUUUUAGGAGCUCGCUCGUCUAUGGGAUGUUUCGGUUUUGUUUCACUCAAAUCUCGCUAAACAUGUUUAAAAAGUUUUGACGACUGAACAUAAGACUCGUGCCGAUCUUUAACAAUGUUUUCUAUACUGCUGCUGUUUUGCUUUGUCAAUAAUUGUGGAACCUCCCCUGUACCUGUGACAGGGAAAAAAGGAGGCAACGUCACCCUACCAUGUGAAUUUGAGGCCAGACAGAUUUCUGAUAUUGUUUUAAGCAGGGUGUCAAAAAAGAUACUUGUUUGUGGGAGUAAAGGAUGUGAGAGUAAAAAUAGCCGAUUAUUUAAAGAAGGAGCAUGUGACAUUGUUAUCAAGGAUCUGAGACUGAGCGAUGCUGGAAUAUACAUUUUGAAUGUUUAUCGCAAUAAUGAUCAGACAGAGCUGGAGCGAAAAAUAAAGUAUCAACUUCAUAUUCGGGGUAAAGUUAAACAUGAUCAAACCAUCAAAAUUGCUUUCUGGAUUUCCUAAUAAUGUUAGCAAUGUAAUUGCAUGCAGGGCUGUAACCAGCAAAUAUGUGACCCUGGACCACAAAACCAGUCAUAAGGGUCAAAAUUUGAAAUUGAGAUUUAUACAUCAUCUAAAAGCUGAAUAAAUAAGCUUUCCAUUGAUGUAUGAUUUGUUAGGAUCGGACAAUAUUUGGAGAUACACUAUUUGAAAAUGUGGAAUCUGAGGGUGCAAAAAAAAUCAAAAUACUGAGAAAAUCACCUUUAAAGUUGUCCAAAUGAAGUUCUUAGCAAUGCAUAUUACUAAUCAAAAAUUACGUUUUGAUAUAUUUAUGGUAGGAAAUGUACAAAAUAUCUUCAUGGAACAUGCUCUUUACUUAAUAUCCCAAUGAUUUUUGGCAUUAAAAAGAAAAAUCAAUAAUUUUCACCCAUGUAUUUUUGGUUAAUGCUACAAAUAUACCUCCACACCUCCGUCCACUUUCCACUGGAGUUUGUCUCCACUUUAUUAGCA